GAUGAACGCUGGCGGCGUGCCUAAUACAUGCAAGUCGAGCGAACAGACGAGGAGCUUGCUCCUCUGACGUUAGCGGCGGACGGGUGAGUAACACGUGGAUAAACUACCUAUAAGACUGGGAUAACUUCGGGAAACCGGAGCUAAUACCGGAUAAUAUAUUGAACCGCAUGGUUCAAUAGUGAAAGACGGUUUUGCUGUCACUUAUAGAUGGAUCCGCGCCGCAUUAGCUAGUUGGUAAGGUAACGGCUUACCAAGGCAACGAUGCGUAGCCGACCUGAGAGGGUGAUCGGCCACACUGGAACUGAGACACAGUCCAGACUCCUACGGGAGGCAGCAGUAGGGAAUCUUCCGCAAUGGACGAAAGCUUGACGGAGCAACGCCGCGUGAGUGAUGAAGGUCUUCGGAUCGUAAAACUCUGUUAUUAGGGAAGAACAAAUGUGUAAGUAACUAUGCACGUCUUGACGGUACCUAAUCAGAAAGCCACGGCUAACUACGUG
rnacentral:rRNA from 1 species